AACAAAGCUUGUACAUAAUUUAUAUUUUGGCAAGCCUUUCAUAUUUGAUUGAUAAAUAAUAUAGCUCAUAACUCCUAAAACUAUUCUCCAACAUACAAAACAUCAACAGCACUCCUAACAAGAAUGUACAGUCAAAAACUCCCACUCAAAACUCUAUACAAAGAUAGCCUCAGAGUCGUAACAUUGAAGAUAAAUCUAUGCUACCUUUCCAAAAAGCCUAGCUUAUAUAUAUAUACAUGCGCACACACAACUACAAACUAAAUAAUCUAGGAAGAGAAUUAUCCUAUUAUCACAUAUUAAUAUUUACAAACCUCUCCGAUACCACCACUCAUUUGCAAAGUGUUAUUGCAGAAAUUUUUCAUCCCCAGCAUUUACUGUUCUGCACCAGCAGAGCAUCCAUGGGAGUACAGGUAAUUCCCAAGACAUUAACAAGCCCAUAACACAGGAAAGUCAGAAAAAACUUUUCAACAUCUCACUUCUUUUGGAGCUGAAAGGGUUCUGAGUUUUAUCGGCAACAAUAUUGCUGUAAGGACCAACAGAUUUUGCCUUCUCAGUGUUGAUAUCAUAUGAUGCAAGCAACUUUCUCUGUAUUGAUUUCAUAGAAAAUUGAACAAAUGAGUGAAAGUCGAUUAAACUUAAUCCAUGACUACCUUACCAUCUAGGUGUUGAAAGGGGUAAAAUCAAAGUUGAUUAUACUUCUAAAAGUGGGAUAUCGAAUACAAGAUACAACAGAUAAAUGUCUAAAGUCAGAAACUCAUGAUCCCAUUUAAUGAGGCUUCUACUUGAGCACCAUAUAUAUUCAUGCCAACAACAGGAAUAACUCAAUAGCUCAUUGAAAAUGAAAAAAAUAAAAAAUGUUCCAACAUCAUAUGAACACUCUAAAGGUAUAAAUUUCUUUUUAAGACAAAAAACUCCUUUGCGUUUUAUUGAUCUUCAAUGUACCCCAUGUGGCUCAUGAAUAGGAAAAAUUUUCCACAUGAUUGAUCUACUCGAAGUGGGACCCACAAGAUUGAUCUACUCCAUGGAGACUCAUCCAUCAUCAUCAGUACAUUGGCAAUUCUAUAGUUUUUUCAAAACGCACAAAAUUUUACAAUUAUACAGAAGCAAUGCUUCAGUUAUCGAUUCUUCCUCUUUUAGGCUUUCUAUCAAAACAGGUGGUAUUAUUGUGAGUGACACCAUCACCAUUCACCAUUCACCAUUCACCAUUGAUGCUUCUUAGACAAUGGAACUACAUAAAGCUCCUAGACUAAUGGAACCCAUUAAGAAAUCCCUCUUUUUCAUGCAUUUCUUUGAACAGUGGACCGGUAUAAUGUUUAAUAAAGUCCAACUCGACAUAAAAGGGUUUCAAAGUUCAGAUUUUUCAGAUAGAGAAGGUGCUUCGAAAGAUGUAUUGAAAAAAAAAAGUCAAGGACAACAAGAAAGGGAAAAUAAAAUGAACGAGGAGGAAGAAAAAGAAAAGGAAGAAGCUUAUACAUGAUCCUCAAACUCAGGACUUGUCAAGUUAAUAGAGAGGUUUCUCAUCAACAGCAAUACCUGGGAAAUAGCCAAAUAAAAACCCACUGAAUAAAUUAUCAUCAUUUUAAAUAAACAAAACCAAAAGCUGAAAUAGUACAACCAAACGCCUUACGAUAAUAAAAGUAAAAAAAAAAAUGACGUACUGUUUCCAAGUUUAUUGGGUCCAUCUGUUUCAAAGUCUGCAGCUGACCACUGGCAUUGGGGUCAAAGACACUUCCAAUGAAGCUGUACACUUGAGCAAAAUCUGGCAUAACUCUCAUUGGCUUGCCCUGAUCUCCUCGAUCAAUUAUUUCACUAGUUUGCCAAGUCCUUGGGGUACUCUCAUUGCUGCUGCUAUAACAGCAAUUAUGUGCAAUUGUUGGCCCAGCCAAUCCAGCAUCAUCUUUAGUCACCUGAGACACAUUGACUGGUGCCAAAGAGUUAAAACCCCGGGUUGUUAAACUUCCACCAGUCAUUGGAUUUCCAAGAACUGAUGACGAAUCUGGUCUGUAAACAUAUCCACGCUCUAAUGAAGCAGAUGAAGAUUGAAAUGGACCAGUCACCUGGGAGACAACUGGAGCAUUUUUAGCUGCCUUUUGCGGGUAUGGAUGAGCUGCUUUUCUCUUUGGCCGAGGUGGAGGAACAUGUUCAGUUGUCCCAUUCUUUUGAACCUUCAGAAAGUACUUCUGUGCAUGGCUACGUAUCUGCCAAGAAAAUGCAUCAGAUCUAACAUGCAAAUAUAUAUUGACACUGGAUAUAUAGUCCACGAGUUUUAAAAAGAAACCCAAAAAAAUGUACAUGAAGUAGAUAAGAGAUGUGCUACCAAACCAGCUUUCUUGAAUACUCUCUCUUCCUCCCAUCCCCUCCUUUCCCUUUUCACUUUGCAGACAUGGAAGCAGCUAAUUAAUAUAAAUGGUUCCAUCAUUUCAUUAAAUUAUUGCCUAUCAAUAUAAAACAAAAUCUUACCAUUUUAUAACUUUGCUGGUUGGUAGACACAAGAUGAAUCUCAUGUUUUUCCCUUACAAAUUUGUUUUAGUGCCAUUUAUGUGAAUGGAACCAUAUCAACCUAAAAAUAGAAUAUCAAACGGCAAAUGAAGAUAAAAUGGUAAACAUCAAACCAAAAGAAGAGUUUAAAGAUCAACUUCAAUGUUACAAUGAUUGGGUAUGAGUAUUUGACACAGUAAAAUGUACAGGGUUCAGACUAGCCUAAUUUCCAAAAUUUCAUAGAUUUUCUUUUAAUUUCAAUUUUCAAGGUUCCUUGCCUAAAUUUAAGCAUCUUUAUCUGAUCUACAAAGUGAAGAGUCAAAGUAACUGUACAUAACUUGUUAUUUAAGGAACUGGAUGGUUUCAGCAGUCGAAAUAUGCUAUAUUAAAAUACCUGGAUGACGGUCUUAGAUCCAACAAAUGCUUCGAUCUUCUUCCAGUCACGAUCAAAUAGUUGAAGAGCUUCUAGAAACUUGUCGUGCUCUUGUUCCGUCCAGCUUUCUCUAGACUUAGUGAUAGUAUACGGUUUCCGGAUCUUCUUACUCGGAUCGUCCGCAAAUGCUACAGUAUUAGCAGCCGCACUCGUCGUGGAAGCCGAAGUGUUAACCGCCGUUGUAUUAGUAGCAAUAGUGGUGUCAGUAGUAGUAGUAUUGGUAGAAGUCAUCGGCGGCCGUAGAGAAUUCAGACCAGUAAGUCCCAUACCCAUGGGAUCGAAGAAGUAAAACCCCUGAGCUGGGUUGGGGUUCACCGACACCAUAAGCUAUAAAGCAAGAAGACGAAAGUGCUUCCCAAAACGAUUUCGUUUGGAGUUCCGUACCGGUAAACCUUUGCAGUGGUCAGCUCGUUCUCUUGGGUUUCGUUUGGUUUACUGUCCUCUGGUCCUGGGUUAAGUAGACUGCGACAAGC
rnacentral:misc_RNA from 1 species